CUGGCUUGGUCUUGAGGUACACUGAGGUCACUUGCUCACUUGUAAUUCCGUGGCUUUGCUAUAUUUACGCACACCAGUGUAAUGUUUAGAUGUUAUUAUAUAGUUUGAAAACAAGCAGUAAGACUCCCAAUUUUAGCUAUUGUAAAACAAACAAUGACUUUGGAAAGCCAACAAGUAUACAAAAUAGACAACAAGACGCCGAAAGUCGAAAAAAAUUUGUUCGCUCGCGUUAAUCGCUUUGAUCAGCCA